rnacentral:lncRNA from 1 species
GAUGUGUGCUCUUUCAACCCUGGAAGACGCCGCCUCGAGCAUUUCAGAGGAAAGAUGAAGACAGCCGUUGUAGCUAUCACUCUGGUCGCUGUCGCCGUCGUGAUUCAGCCGUCGACAUGCGUUCGGGCUUUUGGCAAAAAAUUUGAACCUCAUUGUAAAGGAAAUCAAACUAUAAAAAGAAAUGUGGGAUCCUGUGAUGAGUGCCGCUGCGACUCUCUCGACGAGCCUGAUGGAUGGCCAAGCAUUUGCACGAUGGAUCUUGUUGUAGUGGGAUGUUUUUGCGACGACGAUCAUUGCAGGACAACUGACAGACGAAGAUGUGUGUCUAGGUCUGACUGCUACUAGAAAGCACAACAGACACCUAGUGCUCUCAUUGGGAGUCUCGCCUAAUAAAAUAUUUGAUGAAAAGUCA